GGUUCUGCGCCUGAGCGCUGGACCUACCCUGCCCAGGCCCACUGAGGCCCUGCCUGGCGCCCCCAACACUUCCUGACUUGGAAGAAGUGUUACGCCACGGGCCGUGGGAUUUGGCUUCUCUAGUGGCCAAUCGGAGGAGGCAGGAACACCGUCUAAAAAUACGGUGACCGGGAAGGUAUAGGCGAUGGUUUCAGAAGACGAAGGCAGCCAGGAUCCCUGAGUCACUGCAUGGAGGAGAGCCACGCAGGAGAAUCUCUGACCUGCACUGGACAACAAUGAACUUUCCAGAUGCUAGUUUCUUUGGCUUUAUCACAAACCCUCCCUGUGGAUUUCUAGCUCCUGCCAUACCUCAUCCGUUUGUUGACCCUUGUCCAGACCAGGAUGUCUGCGGGGUGAUGUCCUGCCUGGAGCACCAUAGGCUGCAGCUGCUCUCACUGGGAAACGUAUGUACUGCGAUGCCAGGGAUGAAUCAAGCCGAGUCCCUCUCCAGCCUUGAGAAUGGCUUCGCGGGCCAGGGCGGACUCAGACAUCCACAGAUCAGCCACAUGGCCCAAGUUGACAUCACGUACCUCCUGAUAUGACAUGCUGGGAUGAACGGAGCAUUACCUCUGGGAUAGUUCUGCCGUGUUACUGCAACAAGAACUCAUCGAAAGGAAAUACCAAACAAGCCCAAAAUGAGGAGCUUUCUACAAAACAACUGGCGUAGACACUUGAGCAAUGUGGUCGCCAUGAAAAACAAAAAAGAAAGACGAAGAAACUGUUCUAGAUUAAAGGAUACUUAAGUGACGCGACAUCUAAACGUGGUGUAUAAUCUGGGGCUUUCUUUUGCUCUGAAGCACUUCGCUGAGGCCAGGCACAGUGGCUCCCACCUGAAAACCCAGCACUUUUGGAGGCUGAAGUCGGAGGAUCACUCGAGGCCAGGAGUUUGAGGCUGCGGUGAGGUGCCUCACACACAGUGAGACUCAUCUCCCACCGCCUGGCUCUAACAGGAUCAUCUCCCUCCUCCGUUUCCCAGUGGGCCCUCAUUAGCAUCAAAACGAAAUUCGAGCUCCCGUCUGCUCUAACCUUUACGCUGACGACAUCAGCGAGCAACUUGUUUCUCUGGGCCUGUGGUCCUUGGGAAAUGCUGGUGAAUCCUGGGCUGUGACAACCCCGGGAGUGAUGGCUGAUCCCGGCACAGCUUCUGCCCUUUAUCCUGUCCAUCAGCUACCAGCCAGCCUGCGUGCCCUUGACAUUUCCCAAGCAGGAUCCAACCCCAGCGUGGGCUCUGCUCACCAUAAUGCUUGUCGCCAUCGGGACCCCCUCACUCGACUGAGGGAAAGGACAGCAACCUGUCAUCUAUCCACCUUCGUUGGCUAAAUUAUUUUAAGACUUGCUCCCUCAAAAUAGACGGACAUAUUUUUCAAUGUAUUAAAAACGAACUGGAGGCCAGCGCGGUGGCUCAAGCCUGUAAUCCCAGCACCUUGGGAGGCUGAAGAGGGCAUAUCACCUGAGCCCCCACCGAUACCUCCCAUUCACCGAACCCGAGAGGAAACUGGCCCUCCAGGAGCUCUAGCGCCAGCAGACACCAUAGAAAGAGGCGGGCUUGAGGCUGACGGAAAAGAAGGAAACGACCAACACACCACAACAAAAAGGGUCAAAGAGCAUUGUGAGUAUCUGCAUCCAGCCCUUU